rnacentral:rRNA from 1 species
CCUACGGGAGGCUGCAGUGGGGAAUAUUGGACAAUGGGGGGAACCCUGAUCCAGCCAUGCCGCGUGUGUGAAGAAGGCCCUCGGGUUGUAAAGCACUUUCAGUGAGGAAGAACGCCUGGUGGUUAAUACCCAUCAGGAAAGACAUCACUCACAGAAGAAGCACCGGCUAACUCCGUGCCAGCAGCCGCGGUAAUACGGAGGGUGCGAGCGUUAAUCGGAAUUACUGGGCGUAAAGCGCGCGUAGGUGGCUUGAUAAGCCGGUUGUGAAAGCCCCGGGCGCAACCUGGGAACGGCAUCCGGAACUGUCAAGCUAGAGUGCAGGAGAGGAAGGUAGAAUUCCCGGUGUAGCGGUGAAAUGCGUAGAGAUCGGGAGGAAUACCAGUGGCGAAGGCGGCCUUCUGGACUGACACUGACACUGAGGUGCGAAAGCGUGGGUAGCAAACAGGAUUAGAUACCCUAGUAGUC